ACGGGAGGCAGCAGUGGGGAAUUUUGGACAAUGGGGGAAACCUUGAUCCAGCCAUGCCGCGUGCGGGAAGAAGGCCUUCGGGUUGUAAACCGCUUUUGGCAGGAACGAAACGGCGCGCGCUAACACCGCGCGCUAAUGACGGUACCUGCAGAAUAAGCACCGGCUAACUACGUGCCAGCAGCCGCGGUAAUACGUAGGGUGCAAGCGUUAAUCGGAAUUACUGGGCGUAAAGCGUACGCAGGCGGCUAUGUAAGACAGGCGUGAAAUCCCCGGGCUCAACCUGGGAACUGCGCUUGUGACUGCAUAGCUAGAGUCCGUAAGAGGGGGGUGGAAUUCCACGUGUAGCAGUGAAAUGCGUAGAGAUGUGGAGGAACACCGAUGGCGAAGGCAGCCCCCUGGGAUGAGACUGACGCUCAUGUACGAAAGCGUGGGGAGCAAACAGGAUUAGAUACCCUGGUAGUCCACGCCCUAAACGAUGUCGACUAGUUGUCGGGUCUUUACAGACUUGGUAACGCAGCUAACGCGUGAAGUCGACCGCCUGGGGAGUACGGUCGCAAGAUUAAAACUCAAAUGAAUUGACGG
rnacentral:rRNA from 1 species